rnacentral:rRNA from 1 species
AUGCUCCAGCCAACUCUGGGCAAUAAUCCAGCCUACACCGGGGAGGCUUCCACGGCGGCAGCCCAUCCGACUGGACCGGUACGGGAGUGCACUAUUUGCAAAAUGCCCACAGCAGGGCUCUGGACCGCGACGACUGUGCAAGGUACUACACGGGUGGGAACCCCGCUGCCCCUGUGCGACGCUUGCCACAGCAAAAUCUUCAGCUGGGACAGGCCUCUACAGCAUCUGCACCAAUAUCUUGCCACCACAGCUGUGGGUCGCGGCGCUGGGUCGAUACAUUCGUUUCUUACAGCUAUCGGUCGCGCCGGCGGGUCGGAUCAGGGGGACUUCGUUCUGGCGAUGAGGUUGCUCCCGCAGCCGCCGGGCGAUCCAGCCGGUGGGAGUGUGCCCUUCUUCGGCAUCGGCGUGCCGAGCGGCUACGUUUUCUUCUCCGGCGGCCAGAACCAGAUCGCCAGUUCCGACGGGCUGGCGCCGGCACCGCCACAGUCUGCAAUGAGCCCAUGGUGCGUUGUUUGCAACAAUGCCGCGGGGGCGCUUUGGGACUGGCUGCCCAUCUGCAAGGCUUGCUACCACAGGGCUCGCUACAACAGGGAGUUCUACAGGGCUCGCAUGCAGAUCGGCAACGCCAGUGCGGCCCUGGCUCAGGCCCAGGCUCAGGCUCAGGCUCUGGCUCUGAAGGAUCGGGCUUAUCAGGCUAUGGCUCAGCAGGCUCUGGGUCAGAAGGCUCAGAAGGCUCAGGCUCAGGGUAUUGCCAUUGAUCAGCAGCGGCCAUUGAUCACGCUCUACCCCCGCCACGCCCCGCGACCAAGUGGAUGCCGUUAUUGCGGAUAUCGUUAUUGCGAGCAGACCACGUGCGAGACUUGCUGUAGAUUGAUGGAACUAUAA